rnacentral:rRNA from 1 species
AGGACGAACGUUGGCGGCGUGCCUAACACAUGCAAGUCGAACGUGGCUUAAGUUUACUUAAGUCUAGUGGCGGACGGCAGAGUAAUGCACAGGAACGUACCUCGAGGUGAGGGAUAGCCCUUCGAAAGAAGGGGUAAUACCACAUGUGCUCGCAAGAGCAAAGCCGCAAGGCGCCAUGAGAACGGCCUGUGUCCUAUCAGGUAGUUGGUGAGGUAAAGGCUCACCAAGCCUAUGACGGGUAGCUGGUCUGAGAGGACGAUCAGCCACACUGGGACUGAGACACGGCCCAGACUCCUACGGGAGGCAGCAGUGGGGAAUCUUGCACAAUGGGCGAAAGCCUGAUGCAGCAACGCCGCGUGAGGGACGAAGGCUUUCUGAGUUGUAAACCUCUUUCAGCAGGGACGAUUGUGACGGUACCUGCAGAAGAAGCCCCGGCAACUACGUGCCAGCAGCCGC